UAGGGAAUCUUCCGCAAUGGGCGAAAGCCUGACGGAGCAACGCCGCGUGAGUGAAGAAGGUCUUCGGAUCGUAAAACUCUGUUAUUAGGGAAGAACAAAUGUGUAAGUAACUAUGCACGUCUUGACGGUACCUAAUCAGAAAGCCACGGCUAACUACGUGCCAGCAGCCGCGGUAAUACGUAGGUGGCAAGCGUUAUCCGGAAUUAUUGGGCGUAAAGCGCGCGGAGGCGGUUUUUUAAGUCUGAUGUGAAAGCCCACGGCUCAACCGUGGAGGGUCAUUGGAAACUGGAAAACUUGAGUGCAGAAGAGGAAAGUGGAAUUCCAUGUGUAGCGGUGAAAUGCGCAGAGAUAUGGAGGAACACCAGUGGCGAAGGCGACUUUCUGGUCUGUAACUGACGCUGAUGUGCGAAAGCGUGGGGAUCAAACA
rnacentral:rRNA from 1 species